rnacentral:rRNA from 1 species
GACGAACGCUGGCGGCGUGCUUAACACAUGCAAGUCGAACGGAAAGGCCCUGCUUUUGUGGGGUGCUCGAGUGGCGAACGGGUGAGUAACACGUGUGUAACCUGCCCUUGACUUAGGGGUAACUUCAGGAAACUGGGGCUAAUACCGGGUAGGAGCUCCUGCUGCACGGUGGGGGAUGGUAAGUUUCGGCGGUUGGGGAUGGACUCGCGGCUUAUCAGCUUGAUGGUGGGGUUGUGGCUUACCAAGGUUUUGACGGGUAGCCGGCCUGAGAGGGUGACCGGCCACAUUGGGACUGAGGUACGGCCCAGACUCCUACGGGAGGGAGCAGUGGGGAAUAUUGCAGAAUGAGCGGAAGCCGGAUGCAGCAACGCCGCGUGCGGGAUAACGGUCUUCGGGGUGUAAACCGCUUGCGCCUGUAACGAAGCGUGAGUGACGGUUAUGUGUAAAGAAGCACCGGCUAACUACGGU